AGCAGUCGCCGCGGUAAUACGAAGGGGGCUAGCGUUGCUCGGAAUCACUGGGCGUAAAGGGUGCGUAGGCGGGUCUUUAAGUCAGAGGUGAAAUCCUGGAGCUCAACUCCAGAACUGCCUUUGAUACUGAGGAUCUUGAGUUCGGGAGAGGUGAGUGGAACUGCGAGUGUAGAGGUGAAAUUCGUAGAUAUUCGCAAGAACACCAGUGGCGAAGGCGGCUCACUGGCCCGAUACUGACGCUGAGGCACGAAAGCGUGGGGAGCAAACAGGAUUAGAUACCCCUGUAGUCCCUGUCUCUUAUAA
rnacentral:rRNA from 1 species